UGAACAUAAAAAAUGUAAAAUAAAUUUUUCCCUAGGUUUUCUCUUUUCUACCCUGCUGGCAUUCUGCCAGCCAGGAAGAUUU
rnacentral:snoRNA from 1 species